rnacentral:lncRNA from 1 species
UGAGGCCUGCUGAGAUGAAGCUUUCUGUAGGGAGAGACAGCCUAAGCAAGUAUGUAAAGGUCCCGAGAGGAAUGAUGCCCCUAUUUUAGGUCAUCUUUCUGCAUGGAGGUAUGGGGGAUUUGGUGAAGGGAAAGGAGGUUUAUGCUCCCUGAUCAAUCCAGGCUUUACUGAGGGUCAGGGACACAGCUAGCCAUUUUCCCUAGUGGGAGAAUGGGGCUGUCUGUGGUCCAGACCGUGCCCAGGCUGUAUCCUCUCAGUGCUGUGACCACAGGCAACAGAAGGCGGCCAAGGCCUUGAGGAAGAUCCUGUGCUUCAGAGGAGAGGCUUCCUGUGAGAAGCAGGCAGACUGCCCCAGGAUGUCUUCAGUUUGUGCUGCCCUGGAUCCCUGUACAACCUCCUUCCCUGGCCCAAAUGCUUAAAGAGGUACACACAGCAGGAAACAACAACUGUGUGUGAGGGAUUGAGAAGGAGUCUCUCAAACAAUAUCCAAGCUGCUGGAAGUACUGCACAUCCGAACCAGCUCUCUUUAGAAGGCAGAUAUCUACUGUGUUCGAGCAGCAGAGAAACAUCUUCUGUUCUCCUGGAAAGAGGCAGCCUAGAAUAGUCUAUAUCAUCUGUACCUGUGGAAGU